UACGGAGGAUGCGAGCGUUAUCCGGAUUUAUUGGGUUUAAAGGGUGCGUAGGCGGGAUGCCAAGUCAGCGGUAAAAAUGCGGUGCUCAACGCCGUCGAGCCGUUGUAACUGGCGUUCUUGAGUGGGCGAGAAGUAUGCGGAAUGCGUGGUGUAGCGGUGAAAUGCAUAGAUAUCACGCAGAACUCCGAUUGCGAAGGCAGCAUACCGGCGCCCUACUGACGCUGAGGCACGAAAGCGUGGGUAUCGAACAGG
rnacentral:rRNA from 1 species